CCUACGGGUGGCAGCAGUGGGGAAUAUUGGGCAAUGGAGGAAACUCUGACCCAGCAACGCCGCGUGAAUGAUGAAGGUCUUCGGAUUGUAAAGUUCUUUUCUAAGGGAAGAAGAAAGUGACGGUACCUUAGGAAUCAGCCUCGGCUAACUACGUGCCAGCAGCCGCGGUAAUACGUAGGAGGCAAGCGUUAUCCGGAAUGACUGGGCGUAAAGGGUGCGUAGGUGGUACAGCAAGUUAGUAGCGUAAUUCCGGUGCUCAACUUCGGCACUACUACUAAAACUGUUGGACUUGAGUGCAGGAGGGGCAACUGGAAUUUCUAGUGUAGCGGUGGAAUGCGUAGAUAUUAGGAAGAACAUCGGUGGCGAAGGCGAGUUGCUGGACUGUAACUGACGCUGAGGCACGAAAGCGAGGGGAGCAAACAGGAUUAGAUACCCGUGUAGUC
rnacentral:rRNA from 1 species